rnacentral:rRNA from 1 species
CUACGGGGGGCUGCAGUGGGGAAUAUUGGACAAUGGGCGAAAGCCUGAUCCAGCCAUGCCGCGUGUGUGAAGAAGGCCUUCGGGUUGUAAAGCACUUUCAGUGGGGAAGAAAGCCUUGGGGCUAAUACCCUCGAGGAAGGACAUCACCCACAGAAGAAGCACCGGCUAACUCCGUGCCAGCAGCCGCGGUAAUACGGAGGGUGCGAGCGUUAAUCGGAAUUACUGGGCGUAAAGCGCGCGUAGGCGGUCUGAUAAGCCGGUUGUGAAAGCCCCGGGCUCAACCUGGGAACGGCAUCCGGAACUGUCAGGCUAGAGUGCAGGAGAGGAAGGUAGAAUUCCCGGUGUAGCGGUGAAAUGCGUAGAGAUCGGGAGGAAUACCAGUGGCGAAGGCGGCCUUCUGGACUGACACUGACGCUGAGGUGCGAAAGCGUGGGUAGCAAACAGGAUUAGAUACCCGAGUAGUC